rnacentral:rRNA from 1 species
GAUGAACGCUGGCGGCGUGCCUAAUACAUGCAAGUCGAGCGAACAGACGAGAAGCUUGCUUCUCUGAUGUUAGCGGCGGACGGGUGAGUAACACGUGGAUAACCUACCUAUAAGACUGGGAUAACUUCGGGAAACCGGAGCUAAUACCGGAUAAUAUAUUGAACCGCAUGGUUCAAUAGUGAAAGACGGUCUUGCUGUCACUUAUAGAUGGAUCCGCGCUGCAUUAGCUGGUUGGUAAGGUAACGGCUUACCAAGGCAACGAUGCAUAGCCGACCUGAGAGGGUGAUCGGCCACACUGGAACUGAGACACGGUCCAGACUCCUACGGGAGGCAGCAGUAGGGAAUCUUCCGCAAAGGGCGAAAGCCUGACGGAGCAACGCCGCGUGAGUGAUGAAGGUCUUCGGAUCGUAAAACUCUGUUAUUAGGGAAGAACAUAUGUGUAAGUAACUGUGCACAUCUUGACGGUACCUAAUCAGAAAGCCACGGCUAACUACGUG